rnacentral:rRNA from 1 species
GAGCACGUAGGUGGGUUUGUAAGUCAGAUGUGAAAGCCUACUGUUCAACGGAAGAAUUGCAUCUGAAACUGCGAGUCUUGAGUGUAGGAGGGGAGAAUGGAACUUCUGGUGGAGCGGUGAAAUGCGUAGAUAUCAGAAGGAACGCCGGCGGCGAAAGCGAUUCUCUGGCCUAUUACUGACACUCAGUGUGCGAAAGCUAGGGGAGCAAACGGGAUUAGAUACCCCGGUAGUCCUAGCCGUAAACGAUGGGCACUAAGUAGAGGGGUUUU